rnacentral:rRNA from 1 species
UACGAAGGGGGCUAGCGUUGUUCGGAAUCACUGGGCGUAAAGCGCACGUAGGCGGAUCUUUAAGUCAGGGGUGAAAUCCCGAGGCUCAACCUCGGAACCGCCUUUGAUACUGGGGAUCUCGAGUCCGGGAGAGGUGAGUGGAACUGCGAGUGUAGAGGUGAAAUUCGUAGAUAUUCGCAAGAACACCAGUGGCGAAGGCGGCUCACUGGCCCGGAACUGACGCUGAGGUGCGAAAGCGUGGGGAGCAAACAGG